ACAAAAGGGACAAGAACAACUUUUGGAAGUUUUCUUUUCUUCUUCUUGGAACAAAGGAGAAGAUUCUUGUUUCAGUUCUUCUCUUUCUUUCUCUUUCUUUGGAUUUCCCAGAUUUGUUAUUUUCUUUAAACAAGAAGAACAGAAGGAAUGUCCACAAGG
rnacentral:ribozyme from 13 species